rnacentral:rRNA from 1 species
UGGGGAAUAUUGGACAAUGGGGGCAACCCUGAUCCAGCCAUGCCGCGUGUGUGAAGAAGGCCUUUUGGUUGUAAAGCACUUUAAGCGAGGAGGAGGCUACCUGUAUUAAUACUAUAGGCUAGUGGACGUUACUCGCAGAAUAAGCACCGGCUAACUCUGUGCCAGCAGCCGCGGUAAUACAGAGGGUGCGAGCGUUAAUCGGAAUUACUGGGCGUAAAGCGCGCGUAGGCGGUUUGUUAAGUCGGAUGUGAAAUCCCCGGGCUCAACCUGGGAAUUGCAUUCGAUACUGGCAAGCUAGAGUAUGGGAGAGGAAGGUAGAAUUCCAGGUGUAGCGGUGAAAUGCGUAGAGAUCUGGAGGAAUACCUGAGGCGAAGGCGGGUUGCUAGGCUGAUACUGACGCUGAGGCGCGAAAGCUAGGGUAGCAAACGGGAUUAGAUACCCCCGUAGUCCCUGAGCGGGCUGGCAAGGCGCAU